GGGCUCGUUUCGGCAGCACCUAUACUAAAAUUGGAAUGAUGCAAAGAUUCUCAGGGCCCUGUGCGAGGAGGACAUGCAAAUUCAUGAAGCGUUCCAUAGUUUU